GAUCCUGGCUUAGGACGAACGCUGGCGGCAUGCCUAACACAUGCAAGUCGAACGGAGUAAUGACUUCGGUUAUUACUUAGUGGCGAACGGGUGAGUAACACGUGAAUAAUCUGCCCUGUACGAUGGGAUAACAGCUGGAAACGGCUGCUAAUACCGUAUAUGACCACGCCGAGGCAUCUCGGAGGGGUGAAAGCGCUUAAGCGGUACAGGAUGAGUUCGCGUCCAAUUAGCUAGUUGGUGAGGUAACGGCCCACCAAGGCGACGAUUGGUAGCCGACCUGAGAGGGUGAUCGGCCACACUGGAACUGAGACACGGUCCAGACUCCUACGGGAGGCAGCAGUGGGGAAUAUUGGGCAAUGGAGGAAACUCUUACCCAGCCAAUGCCGCGUGAGUGAUGAAGGUCUUCGGAUUGUAAAGCUCUUUGAUUGGGGACGAAUAAAUGACGGUACCCAAGGAACAAGCCCCGGCUAACUAUGUGCCAGCCGCUGC
rnacentral:rRNA from 1 species